GCCGAAGUAGCUCAGGGGUAGAGCAACGCAUUCGUAAUGCGUAGGUCGUGGGUUCGAUUCCCACCUUCGGCUCCA
rnacentral:tRNA from 1 species